GACGGGGGAUGCAAGUGUUAUCCGGAAUAAUUGGGCGUAAAGCGUCUGUAGGUGGUUUACCAAGUCUGUUGUUAAAAAAUCAGGCUUAACCCCUGCAUCCGGCAAACAGAAACUAGUAGGCUGGAGUACGGGUAGGGGCAGAGGGAAUUCUCGGUGUAGUGGUGAAAAUACGUAGAUAUCGAAGAAGAACCACCAAUAGCGAAAAGCACUCUGCUGGGCCCGAAAACUGACAUUGAG
rnacentral:rRNA from 1 species